AAAGUAUCUUGUAUCUUUCUCUUUGGAUGAACAUGGAAAUGGUUCUUCAAUGUGAGUUCUCAUAGGAUUCCCUAGCACAAGAGCACACACAUCAAAAGUUACAUGAAGUAAAUCAAGAAUGGACAAGAGUGAGUUUAGGGAUUUGGUUCUUCUAAUCCAUCUUCACCAUUAAGGUCCUUUUACUCCAAUUUGCACAGGGAAAGUCCUAGAAACUAAGUCCAUUUGUCCAUUUCUUUUCAUUUGGUCCACAACAAUCAAAACAAAACACAAGC
rnacentral:lncRNA from 1 species